UACGUAGGGGGCAAGCGUUGUCCGGAAUCAUUGGGCGUAAAGCGCGCGUAGGCGGCCCGGUAAGUCCGCUCUGAAAGUCCAGGGCUCAACCCUGGAAAGCGGGUGGAUACUGCCGGGCUAGAAUCCGGAAGAGGCGAGUGGAAUUCCUGGUGUAGCGGUGGAAUGCGCAGAUAUCAGGAGGAACACCAAUAGCGAAGGCAGCUCGCUGGGACGGUAUUGACGCUGAGGAGCGAAAGCGUGGGGAGCGAACAGG
rnacentral:rRNA from 1 species